AGAAAUUUCUCUCUCUAAACCUUUGCCUUCACUAUUUCGAUUUUGUGAUUUGCAAAGAUCAAAGAAGAAAAUCAAGCAUGCAAUUUGAUGAGCAGGAAGAAGAAGGGAAGAGGAACACGAGCAUGUACGUGGUUUGGCCUAACAUAAGGCCUACGUCCACGGGAAGGGAUAAUGUUUAUUUUUUGAAGAUUAUACAGAGAUAAGUUUCUUUACAACUUCUUUUUUUUUUUGAGAAAAUGUAAAAGUACAACAUGUAUGUAAAUGUAACUACUAUUUAUAUUUGUAUACAUUUCUAUUAUAAAAACUGUUAAAGAAACUAGCUGUUGGCUUCACUUGAGAUUAAUUUCCUUCAAAUCUCCACCUUAAUCUCAGCUCUGUAAAUCUUCUCCUUUCCGAAUCUGACCUCUGAUUACCCUUUUUAGGUAGAAAAAAGCUGAUAAGGUCAAGGCACGUGUUGAGCUUGAGUUUUGGAACUGGCUUAAUAAGCAAGCCCACGAGGAGGAGAAAGACCAGCACAAUUCGACUUGGUAGAUGAAAUGAAAGGCACACAAUGUGCCACACCUCUUAGCUGGCUGUGCAACAUGUGGGAAAUUCCAUUAACUCAAUUCAAUGGGAGAGUUGAAGCCGACCCAAUCUUUUCGAUGAGAUCAAAGAAGAAAAUCAAGCAUGCAAUUUGAUGAGCAAAAAGAAGAAGAGAAGAGGAACACAAGCAUGUAUGUGAUUCAGCCUAACACAGGGCCUACGUCCAUGGGAAAGGAUGAUAUUUAUUUCUUGAAGAUUAUCCAGAGAUAAGUUUCUUUACAAGCUUUUGUUUGAGAAAAUGUAAAAGUACAACAUAGUAUGUAAAUGUAACUACUAUUUAUAUUUGUAUACAUUUAUGUUUUAAAACUGUU